UUUAAUGUGGCAGAAAAGUGCUAUGGACUUAAGCCCCAUCUAUGAAGGACAUCAUUUUCCUUCCAUUAAAA
rnacentral:tRNA from 1 species